rnacentral:rRNA from 1 species
UACGGGGGGGGGCAAGCGUUGUUCGGAAUUACUGGGCGUAAAGGGCUCGUAGGCGGCCAACUAAGUCAGACGUGAAAUCCCUCGGCUUAACCGGGGAACUGCGUCUGAUACUGGAUGGCUUGAGAUUGGGAGAGGGAUGCGGAAUUCCAGGUGUAGCGGUGAAAUGCGUAGAUAUCUGGAGGAACACCGGUGGCGAAGGCGGCAUCCCUGGACCAACACUGACGCUGAGGAGCGAAAGCCAGGGGAGCAAAGCGGG